GCGACCGAGGAACCAGGUGCCCCCCUCGCGCCUGCUGUUUUUCAGUUGUAUUAAGAUCUCUACAGACAUAAAACGGUGAAUGCAGCCGGGCAGCAAUGCACCGCCGAACUCACAACGCAGCGCGUUUAGUCGCAUGAUGAACGCGAGGCGCGCCAGCAGCAUGGAUCGCAGCGCAGUUGCAGGCUUCGACCCCGUCUCCCACUACAGUUCUUGCCCUCCGCUGCCUGUCAUUCGACAGCCGCAGAGCACAGCCCCUCAUGCCGGCUUAAGGCAGCACGAGUCUGGCGUGGCGGCACUCAAGCCCUCGCGUAAAGCGGCGUCGCCGCCGUACGUCAUCACGGAUAAGACUCCGCGCCCAGAGCUGCUCGCCAUCAUCAUGCAGCUGCAAGCGGACCUCACGCAGCGCACCGAUAGCGUGAAUGCGAUUCAGCGAAACUUUGAGCGACUGAGCGCGAUGCGUCACGCUGAGCAGCUCGAGCUUCGGCGCUUGCGUUUGCUGGAGAAGACGCGGCCGGAAUCCGCGCCCGACGGCGGCGACGCUGCGACACGGCAACUGGAGAGCGUUUUGGCAGAGAUGCGACACAGGGCGGUGGAGCAGCAGGCCACAUUCGCUCAGAUGGAGGAGGAACUGCAGGCGGCGAACCGUUUGUGUGCGCUUCACCAAGACAUAGCUCGACUGAUCGCGUCGCACGCGGAUGGAUUUCGGGACGUUCUGCAGGCGGAGGCGUUGGCUCACUCUCAGCUUUACAAGUCUGCUAUGAGUGAGCGUGCCGGCAUAGGCUCUCGGCAUGAGGCGACGCAGCAGCAGCUUUUAUGCAAGGAUGUCGCGCAGCUAGUGGCCGAUCAUCAGGCGCAGAUCGUGCCCAAAUUGAUUCGAGGCGGCGCUGCCGAGAGGUGCCGGAUGAAGAACCCAGCGCAGGUGUCGACUGCAACCUUACUGGAACUGGUGCGCCAGGGGCUUCGUGAGACGGCCGAGGCGGUGCACCAGUAUGUCGCCGCCACACAUGCGACUGAUCAAGAACGCGUGCUCACCGAGGCCGAGGGCCAACGCGACCGCGAGGAGCUGCGGCGUGUGCUGGGAGAACUGCUGCGCCUUCGACGGCGUGCGACGGAGGAGGCUGAAGCGACGGCGCGAACGGCGCUUCUCUUUGGCGCAUUGCAGACAUCCGUUACUGCUCACCGGGCCUUUGAUCACGUACGUUUGCUGACGGCAAACGCUGACGCAGCGGCAGCGGCCACUCGGUCAUCGUGGGAGGUGACGGCCGCUCUGCUUACGCGUCGCAUUUCAGACUGGCGCGACGCUGCGGAUGUGCGACUCGUCGACUUUUGCAACACCAUCGAGGCCUCCAUGGCCGAAAAGGCAAGGGAGCGCGACGCGCAGACGCAGCAGACUGCACAGGAGCUGCUGCUGGACGAACGGAAACGGCUAGAGAAUCUGCAUGCGUCUCAGGUGCAGACCAUGCAGGCGGAUUGGAGAAGGCAGAGAGAUGCUGUGCAGCAGUCGCAUGCGAAGCAGCUGGAGCAGGUGCGAAGGGACCUCGUGGCUCAGGUACAAGUCGCCGAGGACCGUCGCGCUGCGGCGGAGAGGCGGACUGGCGCCAUUGAGGCCGCUCUCACCCAAAUGACACGAGACCACGCCGCGGAAGUGCAGGCCGUCGAGGCACAUUGGCGGUCUGCCGUCUUGGACGCAGAGAGGCAUUGCGAGCAGCGCUGGAGGACGAUGUUGGAGGCGUAUCAAGAGGGGCAGAAAGCCUCUAGGGGGGCCGUGUUGCAACUUAUGGUGGAUGUGCUGCGCACCCGUGGCCACUGCGUGUACGAGGAGCAGGCCGAACGCGCGGCCUUGUGCAGGAGCCACUGGAGGAAUCAGACGCAGCAUCUCCGAGAGGAACAGGCUGCCGUGAUGCAGCAUGGCGUGGCGACUGCGGUCGUGCUUGAGCGUAUGCGGUAUCAUACGGAGGACGAGGCUGCGAGUCGUGCUGUGUUGCACGCAUCCGAGGCUGCAGACUGGGCGGCACUCGUGAGAAAAGAGGCAGCACACAAUGCGCAGGUUCAUCAUGCCGUAUCGAUGGCUGCUGCAGCUGCCCGACUGGAAGGCCUGCGAGCGGAGAUGGCUGGGCGAGAGGCUAGGUGGGAGCAGCGCCUCGACGCACUCGAGACAGACCUUCGACAGGCACAGCAAGAGUGUUUAGGUGCGGUGCACCGCGCUUCUGAUGCUGUUGUUGCAGCGCAGGAGGCACAAGCCGCACUCCAGGCCACUCAGCGAGAUUUCGCCGCAUACCGGUGUGGUGUCGGUGCUGCGGCGCAGCGCAUCGAGGUGGCUGAGAGUGCGACGGAGAGCGCGUGUUGUUGUUCUUUAUGCCUGGAGCUGUAUUGCCAGCCCGUUGCGUGCGUGCCGUGCGGGCAUAUUUACUGCGCAAACUGCCUCCUGCGGCACGCCCGGAACAGGUCGCUGCCGAGUGUUGCUUCGGCGUUCGCCUGUGGUGCGGGCGCCUCAACCGGCGAGAAUGGCGCAGUGGGGGCGAGGGCGCAGCUGGAGGUGACCCACUGGCUCCGUAACAUGUCUACCCCACACGCCUCCCUCUUCUGCCCUGAAUGCGCGUCUACAACAGUGUCGACCGUGGUGGAGCUGCCGAUUCUCGGCGAGCUCACGGCGAAGUACGACUACAAGAAACGAAGCCUUGCAGUGCUCCUGGCUGAGCUGCGCUGACCACCUUUGCGCUUGGAAAAGGCAUGCAGGGCGAACGGAUGGGGACCGGGAGGAGGGCGUUGUGCGCGUGCGCGCGAGAUGUCUCGAACGGUGGUAAGACGCGUGCGCGGGGGUGUUCGUCUCCCUGUCGCUGUGCGUGACGUCGAGUUGCUUGCUGUGGUUGUGGUCUGCGGGGAUAUUGUGUAUAUAGAACCUGCUCAACCUGUGCUCUACCGGGAAGCGAAGCGGAAAAAAAAACGACGGAGGCCCGAGGCAGCCCUUUGGCAUAAUGGCGCACGUCUCCCGUUCUCUUAAUGCCCGUCUGUCUGCUACUGUUUAAGAGCGCCACUGGGGACGCGUUUUACUGUGUACCUGCCAGAGAAAGAAGUCAGAAGCAACACAAUAUGGGCAGUGCAUGUGCUGAGACAGUCGCACACGCAUGCCGGCUGAGUUCCACACGAACAAUAAUGCAAGGCGCAUGUGCUGCUCACCUUAUGCCUGACGACAUCGGCCACGUUAUCUUUCGCGUU
rnacentral:misc_RNA from 1 species